UAAAUUAUCGCAAGCACAACCUCUAUACCUCACCCUAGGGUUGCCAGCACGCGCCGCCGCCGCCGCCGCCGCCUCGUCGCAGCUACCGCUUUGCGUCAGAUCCGCAAUAUGCCUCUUCUUCGGUUCAAGCGUAUCGUGGCGUAUCUACUGCUGAAGAUAUCAUAAGAUUAUGGAAAGCUGGGAACCGGAGAGCAGAAGGGCUGGACAAUGGAAAAGAUGGAUCAAGUUGGAUCGCUAGUAUGUAUUGUUGGGUGGUUUUAUCCUGUUCAGGGAUCCAGUAUGUAUGUUUCACGAGUUUAUAUUGAUGUAAUUUGUUGAAAUGUAUUAGCAACUUGAAACAAGCAUUUGUCAAAUUGUCUCUUAUUUUUACUUCUGGCAGUUUU